GACAGAGGGGGCAAGCGUUGCUCGGAAUUAUUGGGCGUAAAGCGCUUGUAGGCGGCCUGUCAAGUCGCGUGUGAAAUCCCCUGGCUUAACCAGGGAAGUGCGCGCGAAACUGAAGGGCUUGAGUGCCGGAGAGGGUCGCGGAAUUCCCGGUGUAGAGGUGAAAUUCGUAGAUAUUGGGAAGAACACCGGUGGCGAAGGCGGCGACCUGGUCCGAUACUGACGCUGAGGCGCGAAAGCGUGGGGAGCAAACAGG
rnacentral:rRNA from 1 species